AUGGCCCAGCGGCCACCGGCCAGGCCUCAGAGAACGAUCACAGACAGAAAACUCACGCAGCGGGAUGGCAGCGAGGCUGCGGGCUCCUUUUCCCCAGUGAGUCGCGGAGGAGGACUGAAGGAGGGGCCUGGGUUCCGGGAGCACCAGCGGUGCAACCCCGGGGGAGGCCCUGGUCUACGGCGCGGGGAGCUCAGCCAGUGCGGCAGGCGUGAGGCUGGGCGGGAGGAGAGCUCUCCCGCUCCGCUGACUCACCUGGCGGCCUUGACACACAGAAACAGGCCCCAGCUGAAGACUCACCGUCAGACCAAGGAGCUGAGACCCCAGGAGAACGCACCCUCGCGGAGCCUGAGUCCGCAGACGUCUCAGUACAACCGCCCCCAAAUGAAGACCUCAGAGGGCAGCCGACAGCUUGGGAACAGUGAGGGAAGGAGCAAGCAGCCCUCAGGCCCAGCACAGCAGCCACUCAGGGAGCACGGGGAGGGCCGGUGGAAGGGUCUCAGGACCUCCCCAGCCUCUCUUGGCAGAUCCUGCAGCUCCUGGACGGAAAAGAGGGGGAGCUCAUCACCUACAAACCUCACCAGAGCUCCCAGGAAACAGAAAAAGCCCACAUUCUUCCUGGUCACUCCACAGCACCCCCCCUUUCCUUCUGGGUCCCUUCCCUGCUCCAAACACCCCCAGCUCCCUGGAGACUCAGCCUGGACCACCGCAGACCAUAGAUGGGCAGACACCAGGGCCCGCCUUCAGGCGGAAUUGUGCCCAUCUGUGCUUCAGAGCCUUUCCCUGCACAAUGAAGACGUGGUCUGCACCUCACAUGGUGGCUGCCGUGAGGAUGAAGGACGAGGCUUGGGAAGCCAUCUGCACAGCUUCUGUCCACUGCAGGUGGGAUACAUGCUCUUGCUGCCCAGCUUGGCUUUCCUUCUGCCCGAUGCCCAUCCUCCACUCCAGCCAGGCAAGCUCACUGUGCCAUGUGCCAGGCUCAUUCAGAAGCCCUCACCUCCUCCCGCAUUGUCCAUGGGAAGUCCCACAUCCUCUCAGGCAUCAGAAAUGCCCCUCUGAGUCAGGGUCCCCCCAUCCCCCGCCUUUUCCAGGACACGCCCCUCCCCCUCCUCCUCCUCCAAGACAGGGAGCCCAGGGCACCAGGACACUUGUGCUGCAGGAGUUAGCGAGGCAAUUCGGAGAAAAACGAGACAGAUAAAAGUUGGAAAGGAGAAGGUUGGGACAGGGAAAGCUGAUUGUCCCCAAUAUCUGUUCUUUUCAUGUUCUCUAAUAACAGAGGCCCAGAUUUUUGGAUGAGCACACACUCUUCAUACAUGUUAGAAGAUGUAAUGAUCCCAUUGACAAAAACAGAGUGAUAAGACACUUAAGAAUAAAUUCUGCAAGAAACGUAUGCACAACCUAUAUGAAGAGAACACAGACUGUCUGAAUGAAUGGAAGGUAUAUACUGUCCUUAGAGAGGAAGAUUUAACAUCAUAAAUAUUCUAUUCAUCUUUCCACCAGUUCAGACCUCAUCUCAGUUUAGUCUACAAAUUAAACACAACCCCGGUUAAAAUACCAACAGCAUUUUUCAUGGAUGAUCGUUAAUUCUAAAGUUCGCUUUUUAAGUUGGGUGCAAUGGCUGUCACUGGUAAUCACUGUACUUUGGGAGGCUGAGGCAGGAGGACCAUUUGCACUUAGGAGUUUGAAACCAGCCUG